GGUGGCGGGGCACCCCGUGGGGAGCUCGGCUCGGCCCCGCCGCCCGGGAUCUGCCGCCGGAGCGGGCCGGCCGUGGGAGGGGCGCGGCGGCGAGUCCCGGCCUGCCCCGCGGCCCCGCCAUGAGGGGGUGCGGCCGGGCCGCGCCUGGAGCGGCGGCUGAGGGUCGGCAGAGCUCGGCGACCUCAGCGUUGCCUCAUGUUGCUGCUCCGAAAGGACCAGGUGGUUCCCUCCCUGCAGGGGAGAAUGGAUGCAGGAUCCCCUCGAGCAGCGCCUCGCAGAGAGGAGAGGAUGGGCGUUUUGGGGUGAAUUUGGCCCCUUUAAUCGUUCCCGAAAGAGGAGCAGGGAAUGGGGAGGCUCCCCUGCUGCAUCUCUGAGGAGGAAUAAAUCACCGGAUCACUUAGGUUGGAAAAGACCUCUGACAUCAUCGAAUCAAUAUAAAGUUUAUCACCAAAUGCUUCUCUAGAAACGAAAUCCAGGUACUGCCAGAGGUCUCCCAGCUCCUGUGGAUCCACCAGAAGUGGAUGUUGAAGGUUUUGUGGGGGUGUCCCAGGACCAUCUUGUCCUCAGCCUCUGGCCCCAGGUCCGCUCCCCAGCACAGCAGGGUCAUCCAAGGGGACCUGUGCCAGGGUGAUUGGAUAGUGAUCUCACAAGGGAUCCUUGUGCCUCUGCAGGGCCCCCUCUUGCUCCUAACCUGAUUCCUCCCAGGAGAGGAGCCUUUUUCUCAGGAAUUUUAAGUUUUCCGUUAACAAACAGCAGCUCCCUGCUCUGCAACCUCCUUGCUCUUGGGGAUAGAUGUGCCCUCAGUUCCCAUCACCCCUCAGGAGAGAGCGGUGCUGGCUCUGCAUCUCCCAGAACUAGGAAAACCCCUCUUUUUGACAGCAUUAUUCCCAAGUGAUGCAAUGUGACAAGAGAACAAACUCCUGGCUGCCUCCACCUUCCCAGCGAUCCCGAGGCUGCUCUUCCAGCCUGCAGGGCCCUCCCACACCGCUGCAGUUCAGCUGUAACUGGGGGGGCAGCUGUUUUGCUGGAGGUUAAGGGCGCAUUUGCAGGAACAAGAGGUGUUUGGGAAGCAUGCCCAGCCCGGCAGAACGUGCAGCACUGCUGGGACAGGCCGGAGCAUGGACUGUCUGGAAUGUGGAAUGUAAACAGAGUAUGUUACCAGCAACAGCCCGGCUACAGCCCCAAACCUACCGCGCUGUCCCUGGGGAGCAGCAAACCCUGCUCUGCCUGCUCGAGCUGCAGCCCCGGGGCCACUUGUCACUUCAGAUCAAAUUAUAACUGUAAAUAAGCUGGGCCCCUUCUCCACACCACCCUCCCUGGCACGACACGAGCACCGAGUGGCUGUUCACCAGAGACUGCACUUGCAGGAUAACUCCCAAAGAGUGGCCUGAAAUUCCAAGGAGGGCUGAUGAGCGUCAGCUGGCAAAGGAAACAGACUCUCAGCUGACAGGACCCAGCCCAGAGGUGACAGAGCUGGGGGUGCCCUGGUUCCAUGGGCACCUCCUCCCACCUCCCCACAGUAUGGCACAGCCACUGCGGGUCAGUUAAACCACACUUUUAUUGUAUUGUAUUCCAUGCAUUAUGUUCAUGUCUUAUAGUAUGACAGAGGGAGGGAUAAAGAUAAAAUGUUAAACAUAAACAAGAGCAGAAAGGUCAUUUGUAACAGGUCCUGAGAAGGAAAGGCACAUCGUAACCACCAAAUCCAACAGAACGGAAACCUGGGACAGAGGAAGACAACGCUGGAGAGCGGAUGAGGGAGGGGGGUUUCAAGUUGGGUGCUGUGGAAGCAGGUUUGACAGCAACCUGCAUUCCCCCACCCACCAAGGUCUGUAGUUCAAAUGGGUUUGGGGACCUCAAGAUUCAACCAAACCACUUUCCACACUCCUGUCGCCAGGGAGAGUUCAAAAUUCCCUGACUCCUCCAGGCUUAGUGAGCACCAAGGGGCAGCAGAGGACUCAAAGCUCCUUUCUGCAGAGACCAGCUGGGAAAGGGCAGCUGGUGGGGAGGCAGGGAAGGGCUGCCCAGCACUGAGGGAUCCCGAGCCAUCUCCUGUCCAUCAGUGCAGGAUCCCAGGAGCGCCAUGGACUGCAGCAUCGCUGGUGACCUGUGGGUAUUGCUAUUCACCAGCAUCAAGGACCAUAGGGAAGGGAAGGCAGAGGGUGGAUACAGCAGAGAAACGGUUGGCACGGACACUGGCACACAGCUCCGUCGGGUCAGACACUGGAGGGGUUGUAGCACCUCGAAGGGAAGCAGCAGCAAAACCAUGUGCUGUGCCUGAUUUAAGGCAGCGAUUGCCACUUGUGAUCCAGCGCUGGGAAGCAUGAGGUUCCUGCCAGAGCAGCACAAAGGGCUCCCGAGCCAGGCUUGGACACCAGGCCACUGCUGCUGUAGUGACCACAGCACAGCCUGCAGUGAGCUGACACAACAGGGAACUUCUGGGAACUGCCACACAGUGGAAAUGAGCACAAAACCAGGGCAGAGGCUCGCAGAGGCUCACGUGAGGCAGCCAGACACACAUCUCUCCCAAGCACCCAGCCCUGCUGUGACAGACACAACAGUGCCUUAUCUUGGCUUGCAGUGGAGGAGACGGUUCAGCUUCACCUUGGGAUCAAGAGCAGGGACGGUUCUGUCGUCACGGCUGUACCAGAACCAGCCUUGCUCCUGCUGAAGUGUUUUGCAUGUUAAAGAAGGAACACUUAGCAGCCCAGAUUUCUUCUUGAACCCCUUUAGUUUGCUACCUGCAACCCUUUCCCAAUCCCUUGAAGCCAUCCUGAAGGUCACAGCUCAGGUGGAAUAAGCAGCAAGAGGGCAGAAACACGAGGCGGCAGCAGGGCUGAGCCCGAGGCCUUUCCUGAGCAGCACAAGGCAGAGGUGGGUCUGCUGCCGGGCACAGGUCCUUCCCCAGGCAGGAGGUGGGCAUGGGCAGGGGUCUCACAGCCCUGUGCAGGGCAGGGAUGGAGUCUGGGAGGUUUUACUCAAGCUGGAGAGGGCCAUGUUAUGCUGGUGAUGGGCAGCCCAAGAGCACGGGCAGGCAGCAGGGCUUUGCCUCGAGCUGGUGACCAGGAGGAACAGCUCAGGGCCUCCCUGGCUGAGAUCAGCCACAAGGUCUCCAUCUCUGACCAUCCCAACCAGUAGAGAAGGCUGGAGGAGUUUUGUCUUUGCCACCAAGGACUUUGUGCUGGGCUCUGAGAGAGGGCUGAGCUGCCUCGGUUUGGGGCUUCAGUCACUCCGUGGCACAGAUUGUAAACUUUAGUCCCUGCUGAGCUAAGCUAGGUCUGGAUUUGGCCUCCAGGUGAAAGGCUUUCAAUUUCCUUCUGCCUGGCUGCAGCCCCCAGUGGCUGCUCAGGGCUGGGGGUGUCAGAAGCAUCAUCUCCUGUACCACAUCCCUGCCCUGGGACACUGCAAAAUCCCGAGAGCUCGGUGGGAGAUGCUCUGGGGUAUAGCUCAUGCCCUGUAAAACCCAGGCAAGGCAGGACAGGCAGCAAGAUGGAACCAGGCAGCGCCCUGCCAUCAUGGUGUUACCUGUACAUCCAACCGUGGCAACACUGGGCUGUGCUACAGGGUCCUUGUCCACGGAGGGAACAGCACGAAACGAGGGUGUUCCUGCUGCUAGCUGAGGACCCUGCAGUGCUGCCAGCACCUGAGCCUGGAGCUGAGCAGAGAGGUAAUGCCCUGAGCCAGGGCUUCUUUCCAAAGGCUGUAAGGAGAAGCCAUCAGCAUCCACGUGGAGGCAGGUGGCUCCAGGAGAUGGGCCAGGAGCAGGUCCUGGAGGCCUUACCCCUGUUGCUCUCAGGAUGGGAUGAUGGCUCUGAUCUGGGGCUUAGAUGGGGAUGCAGAGCUGGAGUUGAGGGAGAUGGGGGGAGCCUUCCUCUUCAGCUGCAGGAAACCACCCUGGUGCCCUGGGAUGUCCCCUCAUUGCUCAGGCCAGGGCUGGCUGUGGGGGCUGGUCUCUUCUCCUGAGCAGGCUGUGUCCACACCAGCAUGGGCAGCACCGAUGGCAGGGGGAAGAGACAGGAAUGAUGGCCCGUGAUCCUGUGGGAUGCCAUGCCGGGGUUGUGAACAGAAGGCUGGGCAGGAGCUGGAAUCUCUGGGGAGCAGCAUCUGCAGCUCAGCCACCUUUCUUCCUCUGCACAGACUCUGCCACAGCCCCUGCAGCUGAAGUGUGCUCCUCACAAGGCUCCUGUCCCUUGCCUCGGAGGUGUCACCGUCCUAGUGUCUCCACAGCUGGUGCAGCAAAGCCCCCGAGGUGCCACCAUGGUCCACAUGUUCUCAUCCAUACUCCACAUGGGCUUGGACACAGCUCAACAGGGGCUGGAGGGGAUGAACCUGCCUCAGGGCUGGGGCUCCUCCAGCACCUCCCUCUGUUCCACAAAGCUUAAUCUACAGCAUCUCCCCCAGCUCCCAGAAGGAAAGGGGGGCUGGUGCCCCACGACCACCCCUAACCAACAUCCCCCAGCAAGUUCACAGUUGUCGCCAAGCGGAGCGGGGAGGAUGAGGUGCAGCACGAGUCAUCCCCUGGUCUUGUGAUGGAGUUUGGUGGAAAAAUCAUCCUCUUCCACCCCCUGGCUUGGGAAAAGCACUGGGGGAUGCCAUGUGUGCCCAGAGCCAGCCUGGCCCAGGGGCUGUAGCCAUGCUCACAUGUGGGCAGGGAGGAGGAGGUCGUGCCCACACUCACGCACCACAUGGACACGCUUAAAAAAACGGGAAUUGCGAGUGUGGGAGGGGGUUUCCUGAGACCGCAGAGAAGCGAAGGCCGCGUUGGACAGUCAGGGACAGGUGUGCUGGUGUCAGAGCAGUCCUGCCUUAAGGCUGCAAGUGUUCCAGGUACUGCGGCAGCGGGUUCUCCUUGACGUAUUUCUGAAUGUACCAGCACGUCAGGUGAGCUUUCAGGUCCUCCUCCACCACGAAGUCCAGGGCUGCCUGUGACCAACCAGAGAAAACACACAGGUUACAACCGCCACCCCCAGCCUACGCUCUCCUCUGAAGCCUCAUGGGGGUCUGGACUCCUGUAUCCCUCAGAUAGAGGGGAAAAGCAGCAGGUUGCCCUCAGGUACCCCCUGUGCGAGGCAGGUGGAGGGAGAGGGUUGUGGGGAGAGCACAGCACAGGGUUCUCAGUUUAACCCUCGACACAUCCAGCCUGGUGGAUGCUGCACAGCAGGUGACCUAGCCCAUCAUGCCACCCAUUUGCCCUGACCUACAGGGCCAGGGAGCAGCUGUAACCCCAAAGCAUCACCCCACAUUCCCUCAUGGCUCCUCAGCUCUCCCUGCAGGGCUGCAGGACCAGGGAGUGGGCAGUGAAGGUUUGAGAGGAGGGGUCCAGCCCCCAAGUGAGGUGAUCCAUCAGCCCCUGCACAGUGGGCACAAGAAGGAAUGGGCCAAGCACUCACCCAGCCCCUCUCAGCACCAAAGCAGGAAUGUCUGACCCCAGAUUUCCAUCUGCCCCACCAGCCACCCCACCUCCCAUUGGAGCAGAGCUCCCAUGCAAUUCCAACGUGAUGGGGCCUGGCUUCAGCCAGGAUCUCUACCCACACCUGGGAUGGCAACAGCUCUUGCCCUUCUGGGUGUUUGGGGCUGUACCUUGGCCAGGUGCUUGGCUAUUCCUCUCCCUCGAUAGGCAUCCGGCACUUCCGUGUGCUGCAAGUCCACGAUCCGCUUCCCCACGUACUCGUAGAGUAGCACUGCCUUGUCAUGGCAACCUGGGGGGUGUGAGAGAGGGGUGAGGAGUGGGAGGUCUCCUGGGAGCCCACAGCAGGGUAUGAGCAGCUUUGGGAUUGCUACAACAGCCCUCGUGCCCAUGGGAAUGGCUGUGCUGGGUGGGAGACUUUGCUUUCAGUGACACCUGGAUGUGCCCUCCUUGGUCCCCCAAAGGUGUGAGAAGAGCCAGGUCUGCUCAGCCUUUCCAAGACCCUGGAACAGAGGCAAGUUUUCUACCCAGCCCUGAAUUGCUGAUGCCAACACAACACGUUUAGGGUAGGAAAGCAGCUGUGGGGAGGGGUGGGAUGUGUUGGUGUGAGGGAGAGCGCAAAAAACAGGAGGGGGGAAAACAAUUCCUUUCUCCUCCAGCACAGAGUUUUUUGUUGUGGCACAUAAAACAGGACAAGACUCCUUGGUCUGGUGUUGCAGCAUUGCCUAGACAUGUUUUGGGGAAGAUGCUGGAGAGGUAAAUCCCACAAACACACAGGAAAGUACACACAGGUGUGCAAGGGGGUUUGUGCACACAAAUUCACAUGUACACACACAGGUUUCCUGUUUCAACACCCUGACCUUUCUCACAGCAGCUCAAUUACAGGAAAGAAGAAGUUUCAGCACACAUGGGAAUCAGAGGAGAGCUCAUAACACCUCUCUGGCUUCAUCUGCAGAACCUGAGCUUCUGCCUUUGAUGCAAAACCAAGCACUUCAUUUCUAGACGGUUUCUGGAUUUAAAACUGACAACUCCAGCCCAGUUCGCCUCAUCCCUGCAUUCAAGAUGCACUAGAAAUAAGACCAUUGGAAUUUUGUGUUUCAAGAGAAGCAGCUCAAGUUUUUGUUCCUGCUCCUUUUAUGCAGACACUCGAUUCUCCGACGUCGGAUGGAAACCUUCGCAUUUCCAGCCCGAGUUUAUUCCUGCUGGUUUGUACCCGCUCGUUCUCAUGCCAACAUUGUUCUUGGGUGGACAUAAAUAAUUUCCCUCCC